rnacentral:rRNA from 1 species
GAAGGGGGCUAGCGUUGCUCGGAAUCACUGGGCGUAAAGGGCGCGUAGGCGGCCGAUUAAGUCGGGGGUGAAAGCCUGUGGCUCAACCACAGAAUUGCCUUCGAUACUGGUUGGCUUGAGACCGGAAGAGGACAGCGGAACUGCGAGUGUAGAGGUGAAAUUCGUAGAUAUUCGCAAGAACACCAGUGGCGAAGGCGGCUGUCUGGUCCGGUUCUGACGCUGAGGCGCGAAAGCGUGGGGAGCAAACAGGGAUUAGAUACCCUGGUAGUCCACGCCGUAAACGAUGAAUGCCAGCCCGUUGGCCUGCUUGCAGGUCAGUGGCGCCGCUAACGCAUUAAGCAUUCCGCCCUGGGAGUACGGUCGCAAGAUUA